rnacentral:tRNA from 1 species
AUUUAAGUAGUUUAAAUAGAAUCUUAAUUUGUGGUAUUAAAGGUGAAAUUUUUUUCCUUAAAUC